rnacentral:rRNA from 1 species
UACGUAGGGUGCAAGCGUUGUCCGGAAUUAUUGGGCGUAAAGAGCUCGUAGGCGGCUUGUCGCGUCGUCCGUGAAAACUCACAGCUCAACUGUGAGCUUGCGGUCGAUACGGGCAGGCUUGAGUUCGGUAGGGGAGACUGGAAUUCCUGGUGUAGCGGUGAAAUGCGCAGAUAUCAGGAGGAACACCGGUGGCGAAGGCGGGUCUCUGGGCCGAUACUGACGCUGAGGAGCGAAAGCGUGGGGAGCGAACAGG